CUUCUUGGUAUAAAUUACUCUUCAGCUUGCUUCUAACAUCUUGUGAUGCAGUCGCAAGCUUUAUGACAUACAAGUGCUACUGUGACUGUGAAAAACUGACUUCACCAAACAAGCAAUAUUGCAAUGAAAAUCAACUCAGCAGAGAUUAUAUAGACUGAAGAAGUUUCAGCCUCGUCUGGCACACAGCUCAGAAUGGUGAGACUUGGGAAGCAGAAGGGCAAAACUACUGUAACCAAGAUGCCACCUGGGUGCUCAUAAGGCAUCAGCCUACAGGUGGAUUGGAGAGGCUUGAGUCGCUCUCUGCCUUUCCUUGGCACACACCUCAUUUUACAGAAUGUUUUUCUUCACCUUUAUUCAUCUCUCUGCUCCAUGACUUGGGGAACAGCAGAUAGAAAGAUCUUACAGGUCCCUGACUCCAUCUUGUCCACUACGGCCUCAAAGAUGCAUCAACAAACUACAAUUUCAGCUUCUUUUCAGAUAGAGCAUUUACCCCAUCAUCCAGAACAUUCAGAAACCCUGAAUUCUAUCUUUGAAUUAGAAUGGUGCCAUUGCAAGGGACCUACAAAGAUCAUUGAGUCCAACUGCCUGACCACCUCAGGGCUAACAAAAAGUUAAAGCGUGUUUUUUGAAGGCAUUGACCAAAUACUUUCUCAACAGUGACAGGUAUGGAGCACCAACCACCUCUCUAGGAAGCCUGUUGCAGUGUAUGGCCACUCUGAUAAAG